GAUCAUUACAGUUGCUUUGGCUUAGGCUGAUAGCAUCCGUGUCUUUUGAGUACCUUUGUUUCCUCGGCGGGCUUGCCCGCCAACGGGGACCUUCAAAACUCUUUGCAAGCACAGUAUUGUCUGAAAACAAACCUAAUAAAUUAAAACUUUCAACAAUGGAUCUCUUGGUUCUGGCAUCGAUGAAGAACGCAGCGAAAUGCGAUAAGUAGUGUGAAUUGCAGAAUUCCGUGAAUCAUCGAAUCUUUGAACGCACAUUGCGCCCUUUGGUAUUCCUUAGGGCAUGCCUGUUCGAGCGUCAUUUCAACCUUCAAGCUCUGCUUGGUAUUGGGUGUUUGUCCCCCGGGACUCGCCUUAAAAUCAUUGGUAGCUACCCUUUGGCUUUGAGCGCAGCACAUUUGCGUGACGAAAAAAAGGCUGGUUUCCAGAAAACACUUCCUAAUUUUGACCUCGGAUCAGGUAGGGAUACCCGCUGAACUUAAGCAUAUCAAUAAGCGGAGGAAAAGAAACCAACAGGGAUUGCCCUAGUAACGGCGAGUGAAGCGGCAACAGCUCAAAUUUGAAAUCUGGCUCUUUUAGGGUCCGAGUUGUAAUUUGUAGAGAGCGCUUUGGCGUUGGCUGUGGUCUAAGUUCCUUGGAACAGGACGUCACAGAGGGUGARAAUCCCGUACGUGGCCGCCAGUCUUCGCCGUGUAAAGCCUCUUCGACGAGUCGAGUUGUUUGGGAAUGCAGCUCUAAAUGGGAGGUAAAUUUCUUCUAAAGCUAAAUAUUGGCCAGAGACCGAUAGCGCACAAGUAGAGUGAUCGAAAGAUGAAAAGCACUUUGGAAAGAGAGUCAAAAAGCACGUGAAAUUGUUGAAAGGGAAGCGCUUGCAGCCAGACUUGCCUGUAGUUGCUCAUCUAGACUUUUGUCUAGUGCACUCUUCUGCAGGCAGGCCAGCAUCAGUUUGGGCGGUUGGAUAAAGGCCUAUUAAAUGUACCUCUCUUCGGGGAGAACUUAUAGGGUAGGCGUCAUGCAACCAGCCUGGACUGAGGUCCGCGCAU
rnacentral:rRNA from 1 species